AGGACGAACGCUGGCGGCGUGCUUAACACAUGCAAGUCGAGCGGAAAGGCCCUUCGGGGUACUCGAGCGGCGAACGGGUGAGUAACACGUGAGUAAUCUGUCCCUAGCUCUGGGAUAGCUCCGGGAAACCGGGAUUAAUACCGGAUAUGACCACUUUAGACAUCUGCUGUGGUGGAAAGAAUUUCGGCUAGGGAUGAGCUCGCGGCCUAUCAGCUUGUUGGUGGGGUAACGCCUACCAAGGCGACGACGGAU
rnacentral:rRNA from 1 species